AGUUUGGUCUCCCAACUAACACUCCAGGGAUCAGGCUUCUCUAUUAGGGGUCCUAGUCAACAGGAGAGUUGCAUUUUUAAUAAUUACUAGGAGCCAUGAAGAACUAAUCCAUUGUUUCAGUUUGUACUAUUGCCUAGUUAAUUAUUUAGAAAUGAUUUAUUAAAAACAAGAAGUGAGGAAACCAUCAUGCUAAGCAGGCAAUUCUGGACAAGAGACUUCUUUCAAGCAAACUGAACAUUGAUUAAGCUCAAAAAGCCUCAUCUUCAAGAUUAUGUGGGAUUUUAUUAACUGAUUUUUCUAAGCCUCUGGCUUCUUUCUUCCUCACUAAACAUCAAUUUGAACAACUACCUACACACAAAAAUACCUACCCAAGAGUGAAGGAAACCAGGUGAGAGAUGACAGCACUUUGGUGGAGCUCAGAAAUAAGAAAUGAUACACGGAAGAGUGUAAGACAGACAGUUUUAUACUACCCACGUCAAUCCCUCUCCCAACCCCAUGCAGCACAGUAUGGAAAGAUACCCUCUGCUUGGUAGAAGAGGAGGGAAGUGAGCACCAGACGUUACCUUGGACCCCAACACCAGGCUGCCUCAGUAAAUCCCACUGCUGGGCAGGCUCCCAUGGACCCAGACUUUAGGCUGGUACUCACAGACUGAACCUCUAAGCCCACCAUGGCAUCAGGAUAGCUCCCACAGACUCAAUAUCCAGCCACGACAUGUAGACUCAGUCUCCAGGUCCACCGCAGGGCUAGGCCAGCCUCAGUAGCCCCAGACUUCAGACUGCCCCCAGCACCAGGCUGGCCAUGAUGGCCCUAGGCUUCAGGCCCACCAUAGCACCAGGUCAGCCCCCACAGUCCUAUUCAUCAGGCCAACACUCCUGGAUAUAGCCUCUAGGACUGCCCAGUGCCAGGCCAGCUCCUGAAGCCUCAGACUCCAGGCCUAUUCCAGGCUUCAGACUAACCCACAGCUAAGUAGGCCCAUGUAGUCUUAGGUUUCAUGCCUGCCCCAAUGUCAGGUCAGCACCCUGACCUCAGGCACUAGGCUAGACCCCAUGAACAUAGGUUUCAGGCCUGCCCAGUGCCAGGCCAAGUCCCUGUGGGCCCACCAUCCAGGCCUGUCCCUGUGGCCCACUGCUUCUUCAGCAAACCCAUGGUCCAGGCCUGCCCCAACAGACGAAGGGUCCAGGCCUAUCCCAGUAGACCCAAGCACUGGGCCAGCCCUGACAGACCCAGGCGUCAGGCCAGCCCCACAGUCCCACGUUGCAAACCAUCUCCACUAGCUCCAGGAACCAGGCUGGCCCCUGCACACCUAAGCUCUAUGACUGCCCCAGCAUCAGACUAGCCUCAGGUUCAAGGCUAGUCUCUGUUACCCAAGGCUUCAGCGGCCUUAGGGACCAGGCCUGCUUCAGAAAACCCAGGGUACUGCCCACCCCAGUAGACCCUGGUUCCAGGACAGCCCCCAAUGGACCAAGGCUCUAGAAUCACCCCUGCAGACUCAGGCUCUAGGCCAGUCCCUGUGAAUUCAGGCUAUCUGCCUACAUGAGUGGUCGCAGGUACUAGGCUCACCACAGUGCCAGACCAGCCCUCAAGGACUCAGGCUUCAGGCUCAUCCCAGUGGACCCAGAUGCCAGGCCCAUCCCAGCAUCUGGCUAGCCCCUGCAGACUCAGGUGCAAGGCCCAGCCCAGCACCAAGCCAGCCCCUGGGACUCAGGCUUUAGGCCAGCCUCCAAGGAUACAGUUUCCAGUCCUACCCUAAUGGACUUAGGCUCCAGGUUUAUUCAAGUAGACUCAAUCAACAGAUACGCCACAGUGAAUCCAGACUCCAGGCUCAACCCCAACCAGCCAGGCACUAGGUCCAUCCACCUGCUGACCCAGGCACCAGGCCAGCCUGCUCAAAGACUCCAAGAGCAAGCCUGCCUGUGGAUCACACCAAAUGGUCUUCCCAGAAUCUCUAAAUGGACUGACUAGUGAAGGGCUUUUGGAGACGAAGCCAGUUUACAAAACUAGAAUAAGCCCAUACUUUUUUAAAUGUGCAGAUACCAAUCCAAAAAUAUCAAUAAUGAUCAAGGAAAUACAAUCCCACCAAAAGAACAAAAUAAAGCUCCAGUAGCCAACUCUAAAGAUAUAAAGAUUUAUAAUAUGUCUGACAAAUAAGUCAAAUUGUUUUAAGAAAGCUUAGCAAACUUACAAAACAUACAGAGAAA
rnacentral:lncRNA from 1 species